rnacentral:lncRNA from 1 species
UUUGUCUGUAUUCACAGCCAACCCCUCCCCCAGGACAGUGUCUGGCACAGGGAAGGAAAUAAAAAUCAGAUGGAGUCUCGCUCUGUUGUCCAGGCUGGAGUGCAGUGGGGCGAUCUCGGCUCACUGCAACCUCUGCCUCCUGGGUUCAAGUGAUUCUCCUGCCUCAGCCUCCCAAGUAGCGGGGACUACAGCACUGCAAUGAAUGCUGCUGCACACGCUGUUGAGCUCGUGGACACUUUCCUGCUGGGUGAGGACCCGAACGUGAAAUUGCUGGGUCAUGGAUUCAAGUGCUACACAUAUUUUUGACCACAUUACUGUGACUCAGGAAGCCCAGGAACAGAAUUCUAGGCACCAGAACCAUACAUGUUACAGCCUCUGAGCUUUAUGGCCUCUGAGCCAUUUGUCCAGCCACAUCAUUUGCAGAUGAGAUCCUGAGACUCAGGCUGGAAAAGUGACCGGGGAAAAGUCACACAAGUCAGAGGCAGAGCUGGAGUUUCCUCAUUUCCAGGCCCGUAUAGAUCAAGACGGACGUUGGUCAAACACCUCCUAGUACUCACAUGAAGAAGCUCUCCUUUCUGCUGUAGGAAUGAUCACACACCAUUCCAAUCUGGAUACCAAAUGUCAUUGUUUAUUAAAUGUGUGCAGUGUGCCAGGCAUAUUGUGUCAUAUGUUUACAUGUG